AACGAACGCUGGCGGCAUGCCUAACACAUGCAAGUCGAACGAGACCUUCGGGUCUAGUGGCGCACGGGUGCGUAACGCGUGGGAACCUGCCCUUAGGUUCGGAAUAACUCCCCGAAAGGGGUGCUAAUACCGGAUAAUGUCUUCGGACCAAAGAUUUAUCGCCUUUGGAUGGGCCCGCGUUGGAUUAGCUAGUUGGUAGGGUAAAAGCCUACCAAGGCGACGAUCCAUAGCUGGUCUGAGAGGAUGAUCAGCCACACUGGGACUGAGACACGGCCCAGACUCCUACAGGAGGCAGCAGUGGGGAAUAUUGGACAAUGGGCGAAAGCCUGAUCCAGCAAUGCCGCGUGAGUGAUGAAGGCCUUAGGGUUGUAAAGCUCUUUUACCCGGGAUGAUAAUGACAGUACCGGGAGAAUAAGCACCGGCUAACUCCGUG
rnacentral:rRNA from 1 species